rnacentral:rRNA from 1 species
UACAGAGGGUGCAAGCGUUGUUCGGAAUUAUUGGGCGUAAAGGGCGCGUAGGCGGUGCGGUAAGUCUGCAGUGAAAUCUCUGGGCUCAACUCAGAGUCUGCUGUAGAAACUGCCGUGCUUGAGUGUGGGAGAGGUGAGUGGAAUUCCCGGUGUAGCGGUGAAAUGCGUAGAUAUCAGGAGGAACACCGGUGGCGAAGGCGGUUCGCUGGGCCGUAGCUGACGCUGAGGCGCGACAGCGUGGGGAGCAAACAGG